rnacentral:lncRNA from 1 species
CCGAGGGCUGUGGAAGAGGCUGAGAAAUGCGGGAAGAUGCAGCUGCAGCUCAAACGUGGCUUCUUCCCUGAGGUGUUUGAACAAAGAACAUUCUGACCACGUUGACUCGGGAUGGCAGAGCUUUCAGCGUUAUUUUCUUUUACAGAAUCCUCGUGAAAUCUUGGUAGAGAAGAAGUCUUGUAGAGGCGGCCCAUGUGGAAAGGUCUUGGAAAAACUAUGUCCAUUGAGUGAGCACAGUACAUGCACCAGCCAGAGCGUGUUCAGGACAGAAACCUAAUUGACAAGACCAGGAUUCAGCUAAAGUACAACCUUUAAAGUACUCUCCAAAUUCGCAGUUUACCCAGCUUCGAAUAAAAUUUCCAUUCCGGUAAGAUACUGAUCCUUU